rnacentral:rRNA from 1 species
GACGAACGCUGGCGGCGUGCUUAACACAUGCAAGUCGAGCGGUAAGGCCCUUUCGGGGGUACACGAGCGGCGAACGGGUGAGUAACACGUGGGUGACCUGCCCUCAGCUCUGGGAUAAGCCCUGGGAAACCGGGUCUAAUACUGGAUAUGACUCCAUGACGCAUGUUGUGGGGUGGAAAGCCUUGUGCGGCUGAGGAUGGGCCCGCGGCCUAUCAGCUUGUUGGUGGGGUGAGGCCUACCAAGGCGACGACGGGUAGCCGGCCUGAGAGGGCGACCGGCCACACUGGGACUGAGACACGGCCCAGACUCCUACGGGAGGCAGCAGUGGGGAAUCUUGCGCAAUGGGCGAAAGCCUGACGCAGCGACGCCGCGUGAGGGAUGACGGCCU